rnacentral:rRNA from 1 species
UGGGGAAUAUUGCACAAUGGGCGCAAGCCUGAUGCAGCCAUGCCGCGUGUGUGAAGAAGGCCUUCGGGUUGUAAAGCACUUUCAGCGGGGAGGAAGGGAGUAAAGUUAAUACCUUUGCUCAUUGACGUUACCCGCAGAAGAAGCACCGGCUAACUCCGUGCCAGCAGCCGCGGUAAUACGGAGGGUGCAAGCGUUAAUCGGAAUUACUGGGCGUAAAGCGCACGCAGGCGGUUUGUUAAGUCAGAUGUGAAAUCCCCGGGCUCAACCUGGGAACUGCAUCUGAUACUGGCAAGCUUGAGUCUCGUAGAGGGGGGUAGAAUUCCAGGUGUAGCGGUGAAAUGCGUAGGAAUCUGGAGGAAUACCGGUGGCGAAGGCGGCCCCCUGGACGAAGACUGACGCUCAGGUGCGAAAGCGUGGGGAGCAAACAGG